GACAGAAAGACCCUAUGAACCUUUACUGUAGCUUGGAAUUGAGUUCGGGUUUAUUCUGCGCAGUAUAGGUGGGAGGCUAAGAAGAUAUAUUUGCGGAUAUAUUAGAGCCAGCAAUGAGAUACCACUCUUGAUAAACUAGAAUUCUAACUUUGAAUGUCAUAAGCUGGCCAAAAGACAGUUCCAGGUAGGCAGUUUGACUGGGGCGGUCGCCUCCUAAAAAGUAACGGAGGCGUGCAAAGGUUUCCUCAGGCUGGUCGGAAAUCAGUCGUAGAGUGUAAAGGCAUAAGGAAGCUUGACUGCAAGACCUACAAGUCGAGCAGAGACGAAAGUCGGCCUUAGUGAUCCGACAGUGCUGAGUGGAAAGGCUGUCGCUCAACGGAUAAAAGGUACUCUAGGGAUAACAGGCUGA
rnacentral:rRNA from 1 species